rnacentral:rRNA from 1 species
GACGAACGCUGGCGGCGUGCUUAACACAUGCAAGUCGAACGGAAAGGCCCUGCUUUUGUGGGGUGCUCGAGUGGCGAACGGGUGAGUAACACGUGAGUAACCUGCCCUUGACUUUGGGAUAACUUCAUGAAACUGGGGCUAAUACCGGAUAGGAGCUCCUGCUUCAUGGUGGGGGUUGGAAAGUUUCGGCGGUUGGGGAUGGACUCGCGUCUUAUCAGCUUGUUGGUGGGGUAGUGGCUUACCAAGGCUUUGACGGGUAGCCGGCCUGAGAGGGUGACCGGCGACAUUGGGACUGAGAUACGGCCCAGACUACUACGGGAGGCAGGAGUGGGGAAGAGUGCACAAGGGGCGGAAGCCUGAUGCAGCAACGCAGCGUGCGGGAUGACGGCAUUCGGGUUGUAAACCGAUUUCGCCUGUGACGAAGCGUGAGUGACGGUAAUGGGUAAAGAAGCACCGGCUAACUACGUG